rnacentral:rRNA from 1 species
CCUACGGGGGGCAGCAGUGGGGAAUAUUGCACAAUGGGGAAACCCUGAUGCAGCGACGCCGCGUGAAGGAAGAAGUAUUUCGGUAUGUAAACUUCUAUCAGCAGGGAAGAAAAUGACGGUACCUGACUAAGAAGCCCCGGCUAACUACGUGCCAGCCGCCGCGGGAAUACGUAGGGGGCAAGCGUUAUCCGGAUUUACUGGGUGUAAAGGGAGCGUAGGCGGCGAUGCAAGUCAGAAGGGAAAGCCCGGGGCUCAACACCGGGACUGCUUUUGAAACUGUAUGGCUAGAUUGCAGGAGAGGCAAGUAGAAUUCCUAGGGUAGCGGUGAAAUGCGUAGAUAUUAGGAGGAACACCAGUGGCGAAGGCGGCUUGCUGGACUGUAAAUGACGCUGAGGCUCGAAAGCGUGGGGAGCAAACAGGAUUAGAUACCCCUGUAGUC